rnacentral:rRNA from 1 species
GACGAACGCUGGCGGCGUGCCUAAUACAUGCAAGUCGAGCGGACAGAAGGGAGCUUGCUCCCGGAAGUUAGCGGCGGACGGGUGAGUAACACGUGGGCAACCUACCCUGUAGAUCGGGAUAACAUCGAGAAAUCGGUGCUAAUACCGGAUAAUCAUUUGAAGUGCAUGCUUCGAAUGUAAAAGAUGGCUCCGGCUAUCACUACGGGAUGGGCCCGCGGCGCAUUAGCUGGUUGGUAAGGUAAUGGCUUACCAAGGCAACGAUGCGUAGCCGACCUGAGGGGGUGAUCGGCCACGCUGGGACUGAGACACGGCCCAGACUCCUACGGGAGGCAGCAGUAGGGAAUCUUCCGCAAUGGACGAAAGUCUGACGGAGCAACGCCGCGUGAGUGAUGAAGGUUUUCGGAUCGUAAAGCUCUGUUGUUAGGGAAGAACAAGUGCCGUUUGAAUAAGGCGGCACCUUGACGGUACCUAACCAGAAAGCCACGGCUAACUACGUGCCAGCCGCCGCCGUAAAAC